AAUUCGAUUAGUUUGAUCAUGGCUCAGAAUCAACGCUGGCGGCGUGCCUCAGACAUGCAAGUCGAACGCGAAAGUUUCCUUCGGGAGACAAGUAGAGUGGCGCACGGGUGAGUAACACGUAGGUAAUCUACCUUUGGAUGGGGAAUAACAGUCGGAAACGGCUGCUAAUACCGCAUAAUGCAGCGGCACCUAAUGGUGACAGUUGUUAAAGCGGGGGAUCGAAAGACCUCGCGUCUGAAGAGGAGCCUGCGGCGGAUUAGCUAGUUGGUAAGGUAAUGGCUUACCAAGGCUACGAUCCGUAACCGGCCUGAGAGGGCGGUCGGUCACACUGACACUGACAUACGGGUCAGACUCCUACGGGAGGCAGCAGUCGGGAAUUUUGGGCAAUGGGCGAAAGCCUGACCCAGCAACGCCGCGUGAAGGAUGAAAUCCCUCGGGAUGUAAACUUCGCAAGAACGGGAAGAAUAAGCGAUAGUUAAUAUCUGUCGUGAUGACGGUACCGUUUGUAAGCUCCGGCUAACUCCGUGCCAGCAGCCGCGGUAAUACGGGGGGAGCAAGCGUUGUUCGGAUUCACUGGGCGUAAAGGGCGCGUAGGCGGUCAGCACAAGUCAGUUGUGAAAUCUCCGAGCUUAACUCGGAAAGGUCAACUGAUACUGUGCGACUAGAGUGCGGAAGGGGCAACUGGAAUUCUUGGUGUAGCGGUGAAAUGCGUAGAUAUCAAGAGGAACACCUGCGGCGAAGGCGGGUU
rnacentral:rRNA from 1 species